CGGUGACUCAGGACGGCAUGUUGGGUGUUGUUGGGGGUUUCCUGACCUUUCGGUGCAGACAGGAGGAGGAAGAUGGACAAGGUGAACAAAGCGUAACAGAGACCCCGAGCAGCCAUGAGUAUCAGGCAUGUUACCAGGAGACCAUUCAGCCGAGGACAGGACGGAGGAACAGAGCAACCCGACUAAAGGCAGUCCGGCUUUAAAAGCAGCACAGGAAAUCCUUUCAGCACGUGACCCUGUUAGCAGAGGAAAUACCGUCCCCACCGGCCUCAUUAGCACCCAGCCUUUGCCUGCUGCAGCCCCACCAGCAGAGGCCUCACAGGAGGCAGCAGGGUUUAAGAGGCCUCAGUGUGACCUCCAGAAGCCCACCUGCCCACAAUGUGGCCUCACAGUCCCAGACCACAGACUGCCCCCUCUCUCCCCAGGCCUGCAGGGCAGCAGCAGCAGGAGGACCAGGACCAGGACCAGGACCAGGAGUAAUGUAGCUGGAUCACACCAACCUACUGCUACAGCUGGUGACUGCUGUCUACAGCUGCUGCUGGCGUGCCUGUCGUGCCAGUGCUCCGUGCUGCUCCUGGGUCUGUUGGAGGCCUGUUCCUCCUGCCUCCACGCCCUCUGCUCCUCCUGCUGCCAAGCCUGCGCCCGCUGCUGUUCAGCCGUGCAGGAGGCGCCUGUGGAGGAGCUCAGCUGCAACGCCCACUGCCACUCGGUGUUGUUCGACUCUUGCUGCGAGCCCACCGAGUGCCUCGAGUUUUGUCUGGAGUGCUGCGAGAUCUGCCAUCGCAGCUAGGAGGCAGCAGGACCGCAAGGACUAAUGAACAUGUGAUGAGACUGAAGCAACAGUUGCAGGACUGGCAGCCGGAGAUAACAAGACUGGGCAUCACAGAUGGAGGAUGACCCAGCGAGGAGCGGUUUGUUUCAAACCUCAGUAGCUUUUCAAAAAC